rnacentral:lncRNA from 1 species
CUAGCUUGAAGGAGGAUUGAUGAACCACCUGGAGGAACCAUUCCUCAAGAAAGACCAUCAAUGAUGACGACUCCCGUCCGAGGCAAGAAAAGAAUUGGGCGGAAGGUCCCAUCCCUGGAUACCAGGUACAUGGCAACAAGGAAAGCGGCUAAUUGGCUCCACCUCUGAAGGUGCACUAUCUUUGGUACCAUGAUUUUCGUUGUUGAAAUACCGCUUAAAGCAUUCUAGAUGCAAAAAAAAAAGAAGAGGAAAUGGUUUGGCUUACCACAUGCGAAUUGAAGAAGCUUAUUUCAUUCAUUUCCCUUACCAGCUUUAGUAGCAUAGAUAGGGCCUUCUAGGCAUGAAAUAGGGGAA